rnacentral:lncRNA from 1 species
AAGAAAGAAAGAUAAUAACAAGGAGUACAAGAAAGAAGGAUAAUAACAAGGAGUACAGGAAAGAAGGAUAAUAACAAGGAGUACAGGAAAGAAAGAUAAUAACAAGGAGUACAGGAAAGAAAGAUAAUAACAGGAUACAGGAAAGAAGACAAUAACAAGAGUACAGGAAAGAAGGACAAUAACAAGGAGUACAGGAAAGAAAUAACAAGGAGUACAGGAAAGAAAGAUAAUAACAAGGAGUACAGGAAAGAAGGAUAAUAACAAGGACUACAAGAAAGAAAGAUAAUAACAAGGAGUACAAGAAAGAAGGAUAAUAACAAGGACUACA